UUCAGAGGGAGUUCGGUGAGAAAGGAAAGCAUCGCAGCAUGGAGAGGCUGGCUGAGGGAGAUGGGACGCGUUGACCAUGACUAACCUCAGGCAGGAUGGAAAGAAGGGUCCUGGGAAGAGGAGAGGGGGGAUCUGUGUGGCCAGAGACCAGAGCUCUCCCUGCAUGCCAAAGAAAGGAGCUGCCGCUUUGUUCUGGGGCUCCGAGGGAGUGCUUGAACCUUCUGGAGGAGGUGACUGAGGCAGCCUGGGGCCCUUCGGCUGCAUUGUUUCUCUUUCCUUUUCGUCUUCACACCCACGCGCCCUGUGUUGGUCCGUGUCAUUGUAGGCUUUUGUCUUCUCCAGAGUCCAGUGUCUUCCUCCUCAUGGUGCCCUUGAAAGGCCCAUCCCAGGAAGCAGCUCUCCACACGUGCGGCAUUAAAGAAAGAGCGCUUCUUGGCUGGCACUGUCCUCUAGGUGCUUUUACCAUGUAGGCUAGAGUAGGGCAGAGAGAGAUUCUGAAAGGGGACAUUUCCAAGGGGGGCAGGAGGUUCUCUGUUGAAUUUGUAGGACAGGAGGGACAAAAGUCACCCAAGGUGGGGAAGCAUGGACGGGUUGCAAUCUGCACUAUUGGAUGGAAUAGCCAAGCGGAUGAGAUCAAAGAACCGUUGGAGUCUUUGCAUAGUUCAAUGUCUUUUGUUAUCAUUUUGUUUAGACUGCCACAGCCCCCUUUGGUAAGCUUAGAGAAGAGAGACUCCCUUUCAACUUUCUGGACUUCUGCCAAUUUUCUUGUCUACUUUAACAAAGCAGAAAAAAUUUCCAAACUGCUUCUUAAAAACAAGUUGCAAUGGGUACAGCAUAUCACGUUGGGACAGACUGGAUAGCGAGCCAGACCUCAGCUCCAGAAAGACCCUGCGUUCAAGACCUACCUUGGACACCUACUGGAUGCGGCACCCUACAGAAGUCACUUCACUUCAUAGGGCUCUAAGAAACUCUCUAAGAUCACAUACGAAUAAAUUUCUAAGGCAAAUGAAUGAAGAUGCAGGGGCAGCUAGGCGGCACAGUGGAUAG